AGAGUUUGAUCCUGGCUCAGAUUGAACGCUGGCGGCAGGCCUAACACAUGCAAGUCGAGCGGAUGAAGGGAGCUUGCUCUUGGAUUCAGCGGCGGACGGGUGAGUAAUGCCUAGGAAUCUGCCUGGUAGUGGGGGACAACGUUUCGAAAGGAACGCUAAUACCGCAUACGUCCUACGGGAGAAAGCAGGGGACCUUUCGGGCCUUGCGCUAUCAGAUGAGCCUAGGUCGGAUUAGCUAGUUGGUGAGGUAAUGGCUCACCAAGGCGACGAUCCGUAACUGGUCUGAGAGGAUGAUCAGUCACACUGGAACUGAGACACGGUCCAGACUCCUACGGGAGGCAGCAGUGGGGAAUAUUGGACAAUGGGCGAAAGCCUGAUCCAGCCAUGCCGCGUGUGUGAAGAAGGUCUUCGGAUUGUAAAGCACUUUAAGUUGGGAGGAAGGGUUGUAGAUUAAUACUCUGCAAUUUUGACGUUACCGACAGAAUAAGCACCGGCUACCUCUGUGCCAGCAGCCGCGGUAAUACAGAGGGUGCAAGCGUUAAUCGGAAUUACUGGGCGUAAAGCGCGCGUAGGUGGUUUGUUAAGUUGGAUGUGAAAUCCCCGGGCUCAACCUGGGAACUGCAUCCAAAACUGGCAAGCUAGAGUAUGGUAGAGGGUGGUGGAAUUUCCUGUGUAGCGGUGAAAUGCGUAGAUAUAGGAAGGAACACCAGUGGCGAAGGCGACCACCUGGACUGAUACUGACACUGAGGUGCGAAAGCGUGGGGAGCAAGCAGGAUUAGAUACCCUGGUAGUCCACGCCGUAAACGAUGUCAACUAGCCGUUGGGAGCCUUGAGCUCUUAGUGGCGCAGCUAACGCAUUAAGUUGACCGCCUGGGGAGUACGGCCGCAAGGUUAAAACUCAAAUGAAUUGACGGGGGCCCGCACAAGCGGUGGAGCAUGUGGUUUAAUUCGAAGCAACGCGAAGAACCUUACCAGGCCUUGACAUCCAAUGAACUUUCCAGAGAUGGAUUGGUGCCUUCGGGAGCAUUGAGACAGGUGCUGCAUGGCUGUCGUCAGCUCGUGUCGUGAGAUGUUGGGUUAGGUCCCGUAACGAGCGCAACCCUUGUCCUUAGUUGCCAGCACGUAAUGGUGGGCACUCUAAGGAGACUGCCGGUGACAAACCGGAGGAAGGUGGGGAUGACGUCAAGUCAUCAUGGCCCUUACGGCCUGGGCUACACACGUGCUACAAUGGUCGGUACAAAGGGUUGCCAAGCCGCGAGGUGGAGCUAAUCCCAUAAAACCGAUCGUAGUCCGGAUCGCAGUCUGCAACUCGACUGUGUGAAGUCGGAAUCGCUAGUAAUCGCGAAUCAGAAUGUCGCGGUGAAUACGUUCCCGGGCCUUGUACACACCGCCCGUCACACCAUGGGAGUGGGUUGCACCAGAAGUAGCUAGUCUAACCUUCGGGAGGACGGUUACCACGGUGUGAUUCAUGACUGGGGUGAAGUCGUAACAAGGUAACC
rnacentral:rRNA from 1 species